rnacentral:misc_RNA from 1 species
UGAUGCUCUUCCGUUACUUGCAAGAAAAAGAUGUAUUUGAGAAGUACUAUAAACAGCACUUGGCAAAGCGACUGCUCUCAGGAAAAACAGUUUCUGAUGAUGCAGAGAGAAGUCUGAUUGUUAAGUUGAAGACAGAAUGUGGUUAUCAGUUCACUUCCAAAUUAGAGGGCAUGUUCACUGACAUGAAAACCUCCCAGGACACAAUGCAAGGAUUCCAUACAGCAUAUGGUGCCGAAUUGGGAGAUGGCCCCUCAUUGGUUGUCCAAGUUCUCACGACGGGAUCGUGGCCUACUCAACCUGGUGUCACCUGCAAUUUGCCAGCUGAAUUAUCAGCUCUAUGUGAGAAGUUCCGGUCAUAUUACCUUGGGACCCACACCGGUCGAAGGUUAUCCUGGCAAACUAACAUGGGCACUGCUGAUUUAAAAGCGACAUUUGGGAAGGGCCAGAAGCACGAGCUUAAUGUCUCUACUUACCAAAUGUGUGUACUCAUGCUCUUCAACAAUGCUGAUCGGCUAAUGUACAAGGAGAUUGAACAGGCCACGGAGAUACCUUCCUCUGAUUUGAAAAGGUGCUUGCAGUCCCUGGCAUGUGUUAAGGGAAAGAAUGUUCUCCGGAAAGAACCGAUGAGUAAAGAUAUCGGGGAGGAUGAUGCCUUUUUCGUCAAUGAUAAGUUUACAAGCAAAUUUUACAAGGUCAAGAUAGGAACUGUAGUUGCACAGAAGGAAUCCGAGCCUGAAAAGCAGGAGACACGUCAGAGGGUGGAAGAGGACAGGAAGCCCCAGAUUGAAGCUGCUAUAGUGAGGAUCAUGAAAUCCAGAAAGGUAUUAGAUCACAACAACAUCAUUGCUGAAGUUACAAAGCAAUUGCAAUCUCGUUUCUUGGCUAAUCCAGGGGAGAUCAAGAAACGAAUUGAGUCACUUAUUGAGAGAGAUUUCUUGGAAAGGGAUAAUGCAGAUAGACGACUGUAUCGCUACCUUGCAUAAGAAAUCCUUCACCUGGACUUGUCUUUAGGAACUUUGAGCAGUCAUAAUUAGCGACUUUCUUAAGCUUAUUGGUAGAGUCAAUUUAAUUAAUACUGGAAUAUUCUCUACCCCUAAUAUUUCUGUAUCGGUAAUAGAGCUUCAG